CAGGAUAUACCUGGGAGAGGCUGAAACCAAGGGCUCAAUAAAGCUUUCGGCUCAUGGUUAUUGCUCUGUGGCUUCCUAACUCUGGUAAGGCUGGGAAUCUUACUUGUUUCCAAGCUGUCUUCCAGAAUUGUAACCCUUCUUCUCUAGAAAAAGCUGGCAAAAUGCUUACAUUUUCAAAGCUCUUACUGGAGAGCUACAUCUGGAAAUCAACCAGUGAGACUACUAAAUUCUUGUGAUCCAGUCCUAUCUCAAGCACCAGUGAGGGGAUUUUGCUAAGCCUGGGAUAAGUCAUAAUUAAUUGAGCCAACAUUAAGCUGGAAUGCAAGGACAUCAGGAAUGUGACUCUAUUAGUGCACCCAUUGCGAAGUUGUCUCUAUUGCCAAGCCUAUGGGUAUUCCUCCAUAACCUUUGAGGGAUCUUUUGUGGCCUAUCCCUGCCCAUCUCUAAGAAAAUAUUUACCUGGGGAAGGUGUUUAUGUGGGAUUUUUUUCAUCCUUUUUUUUUUCAAGAAAAAAGAGCUAGAUACAGAGAAUGCUCUAAUGUGUGACUGAUAUCAAUAAAAGACAUGAAGUUUCAAGAAAUUGAUGUGACAAAGAUUGCUUCAAAUCCUCAUGCUCUAGUGCAUCAGUUUUCUGGAGCUCCACUGAGAAGACUUCAGAAAGUGUAUAUUUUCUACUGCAAAAACAAGUCUAUGGGUCUUCGCUAACAACAAAGCUAAACAAAGCUUGUUGAACCAGCUUUCCAGCCACUAGGGCGGUGUUCACUACAGCCAUUGCAUAGCUCUGUGCUGGCACUAGAUAGACUGGCAUGCCUACAUUUCUUUUGUCUUCUCUUUCAGAAAAAAUCAGAUGCCUUCAGAUGUUAUAUGUGAUGUUUUAUCAACUGAUAGAAGAACAACUCAUGUGCCU
rnacentral:lncRNA from 1 species